GAAAAUUAAAGCAUAUAAGGUGUUAUAAACUUAAUAGGGAAUCAGGUUUAAUUCCUGAGCUACCCCAGUAACCGUAUAAUGGACGAAAUCUUAAAAAGUCACUGCUAAAUAAGCGGGAAGGCAAGAGAGUAGGAUGAAGUAAAGCCGGGAGACCUGCCAUAUAUGUUAGAUUAUU
rnacentral:ncRNA from 2 species